AAUUUCUACCUCUGAUGCUAUAUGGAAAAUUAGUGAAUAACAAAAAAUAAUUAUUUGGCUUAGAUAUCAUUUUGUGUUUGAAUUCUGUUUGUGAAGAUGGAAGCUACAAAUUUGUUUAUGUUUCUUAAGAAAGAAAAAGGGGAUCCAACCAAGGGGAUGGGGGGAUGUCCGAAGAAUUCCAGUAUUCCAAGAAAGAGAUAACGGGAAGGAAGAUACCCUCUUUAUAGUUUAUACAGAAGCGACAAAGACAAAGAAACAAACAGCAAAGGGGAAAGUGAGUAUGCUCCCUCUGAGACUCCUCCGCUCUCUGGUUUUGGGUGACACCAUCAACAACCACCCUCUCCAUCUCCACCACCACCACCACCACCAUGAUGUUGUUGAUGAUGAUGAGGAGGAGGAGGAGGAGACCCAUAGGUCUGUCGAAGAAUUUGAAUCAAGUCGUCAUAAACCAAGAAAUAGAAGAAACUGCAAACCCAAAACCCCAGUUCUUUUCUUCAUACCCACCAAGGAGGUUGUGCAAGAUACCUAUAGAUUAGCCACAUUAGCAAGGGACAUGGGCAUGGAUUUGCAUCCAACCCCAUCAUUGUCCCACAUUAUCUUCUCAUGCCCUUCAUUCUCUUCCUCUUCAUCAUCUCCAUCACCAUUGUCUUCCAAAUCACUGCCCUCCUCAUGGUCUUGGUCUUGGUCAUCGUCUUCCUCUUCAUGGCCUUUGCCAAACUAUGCUGUUCCACUCCCUUUUCCCUCACUUUCCCAAGCCCCUCUCACCCACCUACACUCCUUUGUCACCCUCUCAAGAGGGUUGUUCAAGGUGGUCUUUGUGACCCACAGGGGUGAUUCAAACGAGGGAAAUGAUGGGAGGGCUAGUAAUUGGGAUUGUUCAUCAUUGUCUCUCUUUUCCCGGAUUUCGGGUGAUCGAAUUCAGACGAUGGAGGGGUUUUGUAGGGCUUUAACUGGGGUGGGGUGGAGCCUUUUCAAGACCAAGAAGAACCCAUCAUUGGAUUCGGGUGGCCGUCGAAUUCGGGGGUGUAACUCAGCGUAUUUGUUCAGGAAGGUGGAGUCUAAUCGGGUUCGGGCACGGCUGGGGAAUGGAGAUGGUGGUGAAGCAUCUGGGGAGUGUAGAGUUAGGGAACUGAGGUUGCCUCCACUGGAUUUCAGGAAUGCCCCUUUGAGGAUUUUGCAGUACAUUCUUCUGAUGACUGAUGACAUCUUCUACCUAGCAUAGAUUGGUUGUCGACAUGAAGCAUUACUGUCGGAUAUCUGUAAUUAACAUUCAUCACUUGGUUGGACCUAAUUGCUUCCUACUGUCCAACUGGUGUGACUGUAGAAAUCACCAGGACUCAGCAAUGGAGGGAGAUGUUCUGCUUUCUCUGUCCACUGCGCUCCUACAGUAUGAGGCACCCAUCUAAACUUGUCCAAUUCAGGGAAUGAUCACAAUUAAGUCUGCUUUUACGCUGCAAAACAGAUGGCAGUUAUGCCAUUCUGAAUCGUCACUUCUGCUCAUUGAACCUGUUGAGAGGCAUGUAUAUAGGAUAUCUACAGAAUGCAGAUCAAAGGCCUGUUGUUUGAUUUGCUUUGUUUAGGAUAUUUACUUAGCCUUAUAACUCUCCCUUUUCUGGGGCAAGCCCCAUGAGGUUGAAUCUCCAGGGACAAUGGUCUUUUUCAGGUUCUUGCAGUUAGCAACUAUCUUGAUAGCCUUUAGCUCGUUCUCAGCAAGCCUACCCGCCUUUACCCUCCAUUAGAGAAUCAUCAAUGUUGAGCAUCAGCAACUGGGUUGACCAUUUGCAUAGCUUCUCAACUUUCAUUUACACUGUAAUGGCUUCCUGUAGAUCAAGGCAGAUUUUGUUUCUUUUGAUGCGCUACUACAAGGAUUUGUAUAUUUUUUUUUUUUUUUCUGUUCA